CGCCUAACACAUGCAAGUCGAACGAAGUAGCAAUACUUAGUGGCAGACGGGUGAGUAACAUGUAGGUAUCUGCCCUUUGGCCUGGAAUAACACGAGGAAACUUGUGCUAAUACCGGAUAAGUCUUUACGGAGAAAGCUUUAUGCACCAUUGGAUGAGCCUGCACUUGAUUAGUUUGUUGGUGGGGUAAUGGCCUACCAAGACUGUGAUCAAUAGCUGAUUUGAGAGGAUGAUCAGCCACAUUGGGACUGAGACACGGCCCAAACUCCUACGGGAGGCAGCAGUGGGGAAUCUUGCACAAUGGAGGAAACUCUGAUGCAGCGAUGCCGCGUGAGUGAAGAAGGCCCUUGGGUUGUAAAGCUCUUUCGUCGGGGAAGAAAAUGACUGUACCCGAAUAAGAAGGUCCGGCUAACUUCGUGCCAGCAGCCGCGGUAAUACGAAGGGACCUAGCGUAGUUCGGAAUUACUGGGCUUAAAGAGUUCGUAGGUUGUUGAAAUAGUUGGUGGUGAAAUCCCAGAGCUUAACUCUGGAACUGCCAUCAAAACUUUUUAGCUAGAGUAUGAUAGAGGAAAGCAGAAUUUCUAGUGUAGAGGUGAAAUUCGUAGAUAUUAGAAAGAAUACCAAUUGCGAAGGCAGCUUUCUGGAUCAUUACUGACACUGAGGAACGAAAGCAUGGGUAGCGAAGAGGAUUAGAUACCCUCGUAGUCCAUGCCGUAAACGAUGUGUGUUAGACGUUGGAAAUUUAUUUUCAGUGUCGCAGGGAAACCGAUAAACACACCGCCUGGGGAGUACGACCG
rnacentral:rRNA from 1 species